CUCCGCACGACAAGUUACCAGUCCUUCCGAAAGGAGGAAGAAGGCUCCAAGCUUGAUAUAGAAGACUAUCAUAUGAACCAGAAAGGGUAACUGAAACCAAAGAAAUGACUCCAGUAUCAAGCUAAAGACAUGCCUUAAAGGAUGAGGAGGAGCAGAAAUCUUACCAGCAAGGCAAGAAAGAAGCCGUACGUGAACAGCCUCUGCUUUAGGCCCAGAAGGAAAAGAAGCUUACAGGAGACAAUCAGUCUUACACUCUUCCAUGGUCACAAACAAGAGGUCCCUGGAUCUACAGUAUCUAGGCCCACAUGCAAUAUGACUUUGCAACUCAUCCCAUCAGAGGAUGGAAACUAUUUCUUCACCCCCUUGAACCUGGGCUGGCUUUGUAAUUUGUUUUGGCCAAUAGAAUGUGGUGGAAGUGAUGGUGUUACCAGAAAGAGUUCCCAAUCCAGACUCGUGCGAGAAAGAAUUUGAGAAAUGAAAGAACCAGAGCAUUAUAGCAGAACGAAUCCUGGAAUGGGAAUGGAAUGCCUGGAUUUGUGGCACAGUUGGGAAGCGUCCUGGCCAUGCCAUGUUAAAGCUGUCUCCAAGGCAGUGAUUCUUACCCUUGGCUACACAUUGGAGUCAUUUGGGAAGCUAGAAAAAAAAAAUGCCCAGGACCUGGGCAAGACGGCUGAAUAAGAACAGCUCUGGUCUGCAGUUCCUAGCAAGAUCAACGCAGAAGGGAAGCUGGCAGCCUGGGCUCUUGGAGAUUGUAUCUGGUGCCGGAGAGGACUGGCUCCCACACUCAGUGAGGGAGGAAUUUUACUGACCCAGCAUCCAGAUGAACUUUGGUGAGGAGAGGAGGUGAGGAAGUCAAUGAGCCUUGCUUUUUCACUUGCAAUUACGGCAUUUCCUUUGGAAAUGGACAUAAGAGCCUGGUGGUUGAUGAUGGAAGAGAUGAAACUGUGAAGAGACCGAAGAAGCUAAUCUAUCAAUAGUUAAGAUUCCAUUUCUAAAAGAUCUUACUUUGAGUCUACCUAUGCCUGGGAUGUCAAGAGGUGCUGAGGAUUGAUUGGUGAAGACAGAGAGGGUCUUGGUUCUAACUGAGCUCACAUUCUAAAAGAGAAAAUAGAAAAUAAACACGAAAAACGAAUGGGAUCACUUCAGAAAUUGAAAAGGUCUAUAAGAAAAACAAAACAGGGUGUGUGAUAGAGGGUUGGGGAGGCUGUGACCAUGGAAGGCCUAAGAAAGUGAUAUUUGAAAUGAAACUUGAGUUGCAGAAGGGAGCCAGCUGUGCAAGGCUGAGGACCAAAUAUUUCAGGAGGGAACGGCCAAGGCAGAAAUGAGCAUGGCCUGCUGGAGACCGAGAAUGAACUGUUAGUGGGUUCCCACUGCACAGGGCCUGGGGAGGCUACCCAUGCUCAUCUCAUGGUAAUGUG
rnacentral:lncRNA from 10 species